rnacentral:rRNA from 1 species
UGGGGAAUUUUGGACAAUGGGCGAAAGCCUGAUCCAGCAAUGCCGCGUGUGUGAAGAAGGCCUUCGGGUUGUAAAGCACUUUUGUCCGGAAAGAAAUCCUUGGCUCUAAUACAGUCGGGGGAUGACGGUACCGGAAGAAUAAGCACCGGCUAACUACGUGCCAGCAGCCGCGGUAAUACGUAGGGUGCAAGCGUUAAUCGGAAUUACUGGGCGUAAAGCGUGCGCAGGCGGUUUGCUAAGAUCGAUGUGAAAUCCCCGGGCUCAACCUGGGAACUGCAUUGGUGACUGGCAGGCUAGAGUAUGGCAGAGGGGGGUAGAAUUCCACGUGUAGCAGUGAAAUGCGUAGAGAUGUGGAGGAAUACCGAUGGCGAAGGCAGCCCCCUGGGCCAAUACUGACGCUCAUGCACGAAAGCGUGGGGAGCAAACAGGAUUAGAUACCCUGGUAGUCCACGCCCUAAACGAUGUCAACUAGUUGUUGGGGAUUCAUUUCCUUAGUAACGUAGCUAACGCGUGAAGUUGACCGCCUGGGGAGUAC